rnacentral:rRNA from 1 species
UACGUAGGGACCAAGCGUUGUCCGGAUUUAUUGGGCGUAAAGAGCGUGUAGGCGGCCUUACAGGUCAGCUGUGAAAACUCGAGGCUCAACCUCGAGACGUCGGUUGAAACCGUAUGGCUAGAGUCCGGAAGAGGAGAGUGGAAUUCCCGGUGUAGCGGUGAAAUGCGCAGAUAUCGGGAAGAACACCCGUGGCGAAGGCGGCUCUCUGGGACGGUACUGACGCUGAGACGCGAAAGCGUGGGGAGCAAACAGG